ACAAAAACAUUAAUAAUUCUGAUAAUCUGACAUUUGAAUGGGACUCAAAUGUAAUGCAUUUGCUGUUUUCUCAUAAUGUGUUUUUUACAGGAAAGUCCUACUUGAAUCUUCACUGAAAGUUUGAUGGUUUGAUGAAACAGGUUACAGCAACACAGCUGUCAAAAAGAUCAACCCACUUUCACAAGAAAUCUCUCUCUCUUACUGUUUAAGGAGAAGUCAGAAAUAUCCCUCUAAACGUUUCCUGUCAUAAACUGUGAUCAUAAUAUAUGUGCUGUAAGUGUGCAGUGUGUUUUAUUAUUCAUACCACAAUAGUAAUAAUAAUAAUAAUAAUAAUAAUAUAUAAUCCUUUUAUAAUUAACUGGUAUUAUUCCUUUUUAACAAAUAGGACACAACAGGUGAAAUUUAACUCAGUGUUGUCGGAUGUUGCAGUAAAUAGUACAGGGGCCCCUCAAGGGUGUGUAAGUUCGCCACUUCUGUUCACUUUGUACACAAACGACUGCAUUAGUCAGCAAUCAAAUCAAUUUAUUAUAAAAUUUUCGGAUGACACAGUAAUACUGCAAUUGUUGACAAGAGACUGCAGUAUUGAUGACUACAAAGCUGCUAUAGAAGCAUUUGUGGGCUGGUGUGAUGACCAUUAUCUACAGAUCAAUGUUAAAAAAACUGAAGAGGUCAUCAUAGACCCCAGAUCAGUGGGGGAUAGGAGCUCUGUUGUUGUCCAUGGUGAAGCUAUUAAACAGGUUCCUUCCUAUAAAUAUUUGGGGGUUUACAUUGAUAGUGAGUUUAAGUGGCACACACAUGUAUCAUGGGAUCCACCAGCGUUUACAUUUUUCACACAUUUGUGGAUCGUCAGCGUCUUGAUGCUAGAAAUUUCAUUUAUUUGUGGAUCUCAUUCUAUUUAUUUGUCAAUAUGUGUAAUUUUUUUCAUCUUUUUACAUUUGUGGAUCAUAAUCUAUUUAUUUGGAAUUAUGAAACAAUUCUAUCUCCAUGCACCUAGCCCUAAUAUCAGUUAUUAAAAUAAUCAAUAGUCUUUCAUCGAUAAUAUUUAUGUACAUAUAUACAACAUCAUUGAACUAUAAAAACAGUUUCAGAUCUCAGAAGUUGCUUGUCACUGCAGAAGAGUAUUUGAUGAAUCAAGCUGCUAAAGGAGUGUUUUCUGCUUCCUCCUGAUCACUUCUGAAGCAGAACAGCAGCGGAGAGCAAUGAGGAGACGAGGAGAGAGAUGACAUGACAUCAGCCAAUCAAAACAGUGGGCAUUUAUCAUAAACCCAGCGUUUCUGACACAAAUAUUCAUCUUUUCAACAUCAGUCACUGUUUGUGCAAAAACACCUCAACCUUCUGAAAUCAAGAUACAUUUACUUCAGAAGCAAAAUCACUUAAGAUAGAAAGUCUUGUUUUCUGAAAAAAAGAUAAACUUUCUUUCAAUGGCAAGAAAAAUAAAUUUUCCUUUGAAUAAUUUUGCUUCUCA
ensembl:lncRNA